GUAGUUAGCCGGGGCUUUCUAAUGGGGUACCGUCACUUCCUUCGUCCCCCACAACAGAGGUUUACAAUCCGAAAACCUUCUUCCCUCACGCGGCGUUGCUGGGUCAGGCUUUCGCCCAUUGCCCAAUAUUCCCCACUGCUGCCUCCCGUAGGAGUCUGGACCGUGUCUCAGUUCCAGUGUGGCCGUUCAGCCUCUCAGCUCGGCUACCCAUCGUCGGCUUGGUGGGCUGUUAUCUCACCAACUACCUAAUGGGACGCGAACCCCUCCUUCAGCGGAUUGCUCCUUUGACCUCUUCGCCAUGCGGCAUUGUGGUCUUAUGCGGUAUUAGCACUUGUUUCCAGGUGUUAUCCCCCUNUCGAAGGUCAGGUUGUUCACGCGUUACUCACCCGUGCGCCACUAAGAUAUAAACCGAAAUCUAUAUCUCCGUUCGACUUGCAUGUGUUAGGCACGCCGCCAGCGUUCGUCCUGAGCCAUGAUCAAACUCUGA
rnacentral:rRNA from 1 species